UUAAUUGCACAGAUGUUUGACGAAUGUGUAAUAUCUCCACCAUGUCAUUCCAAUGCUACGUGCAAUAACACAGAUGGAUCUUAUAUCUGCAUAUGCCAGUCUGGAUAUACUGGAGAUGGAUUUAAUUGCCCAGAUGUUGACGAAUGUGUGUUAUCUUCACCAUGUAAUUCGAAUGCUAUGUGCAAUAACACACAUGGAUCUUAUAUUUGCAUAUGUAAUUCUG